rnacentral:rRNA from 1 species
UACGUAGGGUGCGAGCGUUAAUCGGAAUUACUGGGCGUAAAGCGUGCGCAGGCGGUUUUGUAAGCCAGAUGUGAAAUCCCCGGGCUUAACCUGGGAAUGACAUUUGGGACUGCAAGGCUCGAGUGCGGCAGAGGAGACUGGAAUUCCUGGUGUAGCAGUGAAAUGCGUAGAUAUCAGGAGGAACACCGAUGGCGAAGGCAGGUCUCUGGGCUGACACUGACGCUCAUGCACGAAAGCGUGGGGAGCAAACAGG